AUGAACGCUAGCGACAGGCUUAACACAUGCAAGUCGAGGGGCAGCGGGGUGUAGCAAUACACCGCCGGCGACCGGCGCACGGGUGAGUAACGCGUAUGCAACUUACCUAUCAGAGGGGGAUAACCCGGCGAAAGUCGGACUAAUACCGCAUGAAGCAGGGGCCCCGCAUGGGGAUAUUUGCUAAAGAUUCAUCGCUGAUAGAUAGGCAUGCGUUCCAUUAGGCAGUUGGCGGGGUAACGGCCCACCAAACCGACGAUGGAUAGGGGUUCUGAGAGGAAGGUCCCCCACAUUGGUACUGAGACACGGACCAAACUCCUACGGGAGGCAGCAGUGAGGAAUAUUGGUCAAUGGGCGUAAGCCUGAACCAGCCAAGUCGCGUGAGGGAUGAAGGUUCUAUGGAUCGUAAACCUCUUUUAUAAGGGAAUAAAGUGCGGGACGUGUCCCGUUUUGUAUGUACCUUAUGAAUAAGGAUCGGCUAACUCCGUGCCAGCAGCCGCGGUAAUACGGAGGAUCCGAGCGUUAUCCGGAUUUAUUGGGUUUAAAGGGUGCGUAGGCGGCCUUUUAAGUCAGCGGUGAAAGUCUGUGGCUCAACCAUAGAAUUGCCGUUGAAACUGGGAGGCUUGAGUAUGUUUGAGGCAGGCGGAAUGCGUGGUGUAGCGGUGAAAUGCAUAGAUAUCACGCAGAACCCCGAUUGCGAAGGCAGCCUGCCAAGCCAUGACUGACGCUGAUGCACGAAAGCGUGGGGAUCAAACAGGAUUAGAUACCCUGGUAGUCCACGCAGUAAACGAUGAUCACUAGCUGUUUGCGAUACAGUGUAAGCGGCACAGCGAAAGCGUUAAGUGAUCCACCUGGGGAGUACGCCGGCAACGGUGAAACUCAAAGGAAUUGACGGGGGCCCGCACAAGCGGAGGAACAUGUGGUUUAAUUCGAUGAUACGCGAGGAACCUUACCCGGGUUUGAACGCAUUCGGACCGAGGUGGAAACACCUUUUCUAGCAAUAGCCGUUUGCGAGGUGCUGCAUGGUUGUCGUCAGCUCGUGCCGUGAGGUGUCGGCUUAAGUGCCAUAACGAGCGCAACCCUUGCCACUAGUUACUAACAGGUAAAGCUGAGGACUCUGGUGGGACUGCCAGCGUAAGCUGCGAGGAAGGCGGGGAUGAUGUCAAAUCAGCACGGCCCUUACAUCCGGGGCGACACACGUGUUACAAUGGCGUGGACAAAGGGAAGCCACCUGGCGACAGGGAGCGAAUCCCCAAACCACGUCUCAGUUCGGAUCGGAGUCUGCAACCCGACUCCGUGAAGCUGGAUUCGCUAGUAAUCGCGCAUCAGCCAUGGCGCGGUGAAUACGUUCCCGGGCCUUGUACACACCGCCCGUCAAGCCAUGGGAGCCGGGGGUACCUGAAGUCCGUAACCGCGAGGAUCGGCCUAGGGUAAAACUGGUGACUGGGGCU
rnacentral:rRNA from 1 species